GGAUUAGAUACCCUGGUAGUCCACGCAGUAAACGUUGUACACUAGGUGUAGCGGGUAUUGACCCCUGCUGUGCCGGAGCUAACGCAUUAAGUGUACCGCCUGGGGAGUACGGUCGCAAGACUAAAACUCAAAGAAAUUGACGGGGGCCCGCACAAGCGGUGGAGCAUGUGGUUUAAUUCGACGCAACGCGCAGAACCUUACCCAGGCUUGACAUCCUGAGAAUCUGUCCGAGAAGAUAGAGUGCCUUCGGGAACUCAGAGACAGGUGCUGCAUGGCUGUCGUCAGCUCGUGCCG
rnacentral:rRNA from 1 species